GUGAGGAAUAUUGCUCAAUGGGCGAAAGCCUGAAGCAGCAACGCCGCGUGCGCGAUGAAGGUCUUCGGAUCGUAAAGCGCUUUUGAGAGGGACGAGAUAGGACGGUACCUCUUGAAUAAGUCACGGCUAACUACGUGCCAGCAGCCGCGGUAAAACGUAGGUGGCAAGCGUUAUCCGGAUUCACUGGGCGUAAAGCGAGUGCAGGUGGUUGUGUAAGUUGGAUGUGAAAUUUCCCAGCCUAACUGGGAAGGGUCAUUCAAUACUGCGCGACUUGAGGGCAGAAGAGGGGGGUGGAAUUGCCGGUGUAGUGGUGAAAUGCGUAGAUAUCGGCAGGAACACCUGUGGCGAAAGCGGCCCCCUGGUCUGAUCCUGACACUCAGACUCGAAAGCUAGGGUAGCGAACGGGAUUAGAAACCCCAGUAGUCC
rnacentral:rRNA from 1 species